AACGCACAUUGCACCUUUCGGUAUUCCGGAGGGUAUACCUGUUUGAGCGUCAUUUCACUCUUAAAACAAUGUAUUUUGUUUUAGUCUUGAGUUUUUAUAUUUUUCAUUUAUUUGAAAAAUAUUAACUUGAAAUGAAUUUGGCAGAAGUGAAUUUUUCAAUUUCUCUAUUUGACAACGUAAUAGGUUUUACCAACUCGUUGACUUUUAAAGAAUAAAGAUUGAAUUAUUAACAGCUUCGGCGUUUAUAACCAAAACUUAUUUAAAAGUUUGACCUCAAAUCAAGUAAGAUUACCCGCUGAACUUAA
rnacentral:rRNA from 1 species